CUGUUAUUGGUAAUGGUGAGAGGUUAGCAUGUUUUGUUGUAGCCUCUGUUAUUGGUAAUGGUGAGGUUAGUAUGUUUUGUUGUAGUCUCUGUUAUUGGUAAUGGUGAGAGGUUAGCAUGUUUUGUUGUAGCCUCUGUUAUUGGUAAUGGUG